rnacentral:lncRNA from 1 species
CUCUCUACUACACUACGAAGCUAUUCUGCUAGAAAGCAUUCGGAGGAUAUAUUUAAGGUGAUAAUCUGUGCUAUUUUGGCGCUUGCGUAGAUAUCACUCGACUGUAUCUGACUGCGUAUGUGCACGGACUUUGUCGCAUAUGCAUCGUUGCGGCGCGUUCAACAACACGCGACUGUUGCGCGUGCUUGUGAUAUUGGCGCUGCACUUCUCGGCGCUAUUAUUUAGAAAAGGGCUGAUACGAAAAUUAUUAUGUUUUUGUUGUCACUCCAGGCAUAUCCUUUCCGAACAGAUUGUCGGAUUAUUUAUUAUGUACAAAUCUCUUUCCAUUAAAGGAAGUUGUUCUUCUAUGAAGAUAGUCGCGUGUCAUUCAAUCGAGCGCUCAUUACCCUUCCUUAUCCGCGCCACACGAAGCAGAAACUGAAAGCCUGUUCGUAUGGUCCUCGGGUUCCACAAAUAUAUGUGAGUCUCGAAGACACCCCCGAUAGCGAUCGAUUGUCAAAUUGAAUACCCAAUCGAAAUAUGAAUAAGUUAUUUUAUUUCAAAGUUAAAUUCAAAAUUAUCGUAUUAUAUAGAAAGUUAUAGAAGGGAAAUGGAGUCUUUAAACUUUUAAAAAAAAA